UGGUCCUUCUGUAGCUCAGUUGGUAGAGCAUGGCGCUUGUAACGCCAGGGUAGUGGGUUCGAUUCCCGGGACCACCCA
rnacentral:tRNA from 1 species